GCAUUAGAUUGUGAAUCUAAAGUUAGAGAUCUAUACCCUCUUAUUUACC
rnacentral:tRNA from 1 species